GAUAGAGCAUGAACGUUUAAAUGUUUUCCUCUAUAUCUGUAUCCAAAACUUUGUAUUAUUUUUUAAAGUGAUACUUGAGCCACAGAAAAUUGAAGACUUUCGGGUCUCUCCAACUGCACAGAUUUCUAAUGUACGCUGAGUUUUAUUGCAUGUAAUCAAAUAGGGAAUGUUGGUUGAAUUGAAAUCUUGACAUUGCCUCGCAUUAGAAUAAGUACUGCUUCAUCUCACGAGUGAUUUGGGUUAUGAAAGGUGCUUUCUGACUCCUGCUGGAAAGCUCACCAGGUACAGCUUCUAGAAUAUUCCUGGGAUGUUCACUUUAGCACAUACAGGUUUGUUGUGGAUGUGUCAGUGAUACAAAAGAAUGAGGCUCACUUUGAGGUACAUGUCUAUUUGUCAGAAGAGUUCCUGCUUCCAGCUAGGGCAUAAGGUGAAAGUGGGGGUGACGGGGCCCUUGGUUGUUGUUCGCCCCCACCCAAGGGUUAUUUCAAACCAGCCAUGAAGACAGCCUGUGUGCGCUAUGUCACUGAGCCCUGACGCACACUGCAGACCCCAUCACUCAGGAGCUGCUCCUUCACUGUUUGCUUGAAUAGAAUCUCAGGUGGCAUUAAUGUGCCUGGCUCCAAGAAGACAAAGAACCACCAUAGCUUCCCUAUUGCAUAAAGCUCACUCUGCUGAGGAGACUUGGAUGGUCCCCACUCUGAACCUGAGUCUUCUCUUCUAUAAAGUGAAGGCUUAAAUUGUGUGCUCUUUACAACCUCACCUAGCUCUCAAAUGUUUCUCUCUGGGCUCUAAGAAAAUAUGAUGGUGAGCUCAAGGAUAUUGUCCUCCUAGAUGUGUGUGAUUUGGGUGGCGGGGGGAAAGAGGGGUAUGCAGGGGCCAAAGGGGUAAACACCUACACGGAGGGAACAUAACAGUCCCUGCUUGUCUCUUUCUUCUUUCUUCUUCUUCUUCUUUUUUUUUUUUUAACUGCAAAUAAGAUGAGAGUCCUACCACUGGUUUUUCUUAAUGCUGUUCUUUAUCAAACAAACAAACAAAAAUACAUAAUGCAACAACCCACAGACACUUCUGUUGGUACUUAACUAGCCAGAUAAUUUAACCAUGGAUAAACACACACACACACACCUUUUUUUUCUGAGACAUGUCAAUAGUAUUUCCCACAAUUGUGGAUUUUUCAAAUCAAACGAGUAGAAGAAAGUAAAAAUUAAAUAAAGGAGGGACAAAAAAAAUACCACAUACACACAACUUUUCUGGAACUUCUGAAAGAAGAAUGAUAUCCUUGGAUGCAGUGGACCUUUUUUUUUUUAAAUAAAACUUACAAAAAGUUGCCACACCUGUUGAAUUCAACUAAGAAUUAUUUUUUAUUAACAAGGUGAUAUCCAAUAUUUAACAAUUCUUAUUCUGAUACAAGAAAAAAUGCCAUUCAGCAGGAUCUCAGACUGGGCUCUUGCUGUGCAUUAAGAGUGUGGCUUUUAUCUUAUUUCAGAAAAUAGAGCCCACCCCAUGCCUUCUUCUCCUAUUUGUAAAGAACAAGGCUGAGGGAAAUUGUUGCAUUGGUAUUGGUCCUAACAGGGGGUUGCCUGAAGCAUGUCAGAGCCUGAAGCCCACCCCUCCCUCUGGACAGGAUUCAGAUCGGCAACCUCCCGCUGGUAGAGAAACGCAGCAAAACAAAAUCUGUGCGUUGGUCUCUGUGCAGGAUGGUUUGCUAUCAUUUUAUCCUUUUAUUUAAGCAAAGUAAAAUGAACGUUCUGUGUCUGUAGUCAGCUCACUGUCUCUCCUUGCCAAUGGAGAAGCCUGCCUUCUCCGUUGGAGGUCUCCAUCUGGGGCCACAGCUCUGCUCCCCAGGACCACACCGGGGGCACUCCUGCCUCACUCCAUCCUGCAUGCCGCGUGCUCAUCCUGCUGAUUCACGUCUUUUUGCCCUUUGUCAAGUAUGGAGAGAGAGGAAGGAUGAAUGGACAGUCUUUGGUUACCGACGCUGGUGAUGCCCCUCGUGGUCCUCUUUGGAAGGACCCCUGUGGAGAUAAGGCUGGGGAGGCUGCGCUUGGAGGCUUCGCCCGGCUCAGCAUGGCCCCAGCACAGGGGCCCCCGGAUCAGGAGCCAGAGGAAGAGAUAACCAUGGAGGAUAGUCCCACUAUGGUUAAAAUGGACCAGGGUGAAAAGCAGGUUUUACGAAGUCCACGAAGAAGGUACCUCCCCAAGGCACUUGGCUAUGUCACCGGUGAUAUGAAAGAAUUUGCCAGCUGGCUUAAAGACAAACCACAGGUGCUCCAGUUCGUUGACUGGGUUCUUCGGGGCAUAUCCCAAGUGGUGUUUGUCAGCAACCCCAUCAGUGGAAUCCUGAUUCUGGUUGGACUCCUGGUCCAGAAUCCCUGGUGGGCUCUCAAUGGCUGUGUGGGAACAGUGGUCUCCACCCUGACAGCCCUAUUGCUUGCCCAGGACAGGUCCGCAAUCGCCGCAGGACUCCAGGGCUACAAUGCCACGCUGCUGGGAAUCCUCAUGGCUGUCUUUUCAGACAAGGGCAACUAUUUCUGGUGGCUGUUAUUCCCUGUGUCUGCUAUGUCCAUGACUUGUCCAAUUUUCUCAAGUGCGUUGAACUCCUUGUUCUGCAAAUGGGACCUCCCCGUCUUCACGCUGCCCUUCAACAUGGCAUUAUCAAUGUACUUAUCGGCCACAGGACAUUACAAUCCAUUCUUCCCAGGCAAAUUGUUCAAACCCGUGACCGCGGUUCCCAAUAUCACCUGGUCUGACCUCAGUGCCCUGCAGUUAUUGAAAUCGCUGCCCGUGGGUGUGGGCCAGAUCUACGGCUGUGAUAACCCGUGGACAGGGGGCAUUUUCCUGGUCGCCCUUCUGCUCUCCUCCCCACUCAUGUCCCUGCAUGCUGCCAUCGGGUCGCUGCUGGGGAUAGCAGCAGGACUCAGUGUCUCGGCACCAUUUGAGAACAUCUACCUUGGACUCUGGGGUUUCAACAGCUCUCUGGCCUGCAUUGCAAUUGGAGGAAUGUUCAUGGCUCUCACCUGGCAAACGCACAUCCUGGCUCUUGCCUGUGCUCUGUUCACGGCCUACCUUGGAGUCAGCCUGUCCCACGUGAUGGCUGUGGCGGGAUUGCCGGCUUGUACCUGGCCCUUCUGUUUGGCCACACUACUGUUCCUCUUGGUGACCACGAAAAAUGCCAACAUCUACAGGAUGCCCCUCAGCAAAGUCACUUAUCCUGAAGAAAACCGCAUCUUCUACCUCCAAGCCAAGAAAAAAAGGAUGGUUGAAAGCCCUUUGUGAGGGCAAGCCCCACCCACAGCCCAGGUCCCAAGGGGGGACUGACCGACUGCCCCAGGCUCAUCUCUGUGGCUUUCUUUUAGACUCCAGGAACACCCCCAAACAUGUGAGAGACGCGUCCAGAUGGUCUGCCCUGGUGGGGCGCUGGUGCUAGACAUGUAAUCUAUUCAUAAAGUCAAACGCUCCAACGGGAAGAAGACGUGAGACCAGAGCUUGUUAUUUAUUGAUAUUCUUGGUGUUUGGUUGGCUACAUGAUGUUAACAGUAUUAAAAAUUAAGCUCUACAAACCAACAAAGGCUUCAGUGAAUGGAAUUCAUGGUCACAAAAUCAAAGUCAACCCAGAAUUCUCCGAUAAGCAGUUUGACUUGUUUAAAAUCAAUACAAGUUAUGCGGGACAGCUGUGGUGCCCACAGCUCAUUCUCCAGCUCCUGGGCAGAAGGGCCUGGAUGCUGCCCUGUGUGUGUGCGGCGUUCUCCUACAAGGAGAUGGUUGAUUCUUUCCCGCUGACACAGCUCUAGGAGGGAGAAAGGGGUUUUAUCAGUCAAAAUUAUUUUGUAGUGUUAUUUUUCUUAGACAUCGCAAAGGAUGUUUUAGUAAAGUUUAUGAUCUUUUUCUUAUGAGAAUGGAUUUGUUUUUUCAAUGAGGUAAAAUAAGAGAAGUUCCUGGCCUCACCAGUUCCUAGAUAUUAACGAAAAGUUACAUUUUUAUAAAAUACUUGGCAUAGCCAUUUUUACUUUAAUCCCCAAGUUAAUUUCGUAAAUGCCAGGAAUGCAUAGAACCAAGUCAUCAACAUCCAAGGCCCUUUAAAACCACAUUUGCAAUUCAUCUGAGGAUGUCUUAUAUCUUAUAAAGACUGAAAGUGAAGGUCAGAUUGUUUCUGGGUGCUUGGAAAUUGUUGAGUUUCUUACUUAAAAAAAAAAAAAAAUCAUUAUUUUCUGCAGGCUCACAAUAUCCUCACUCAGAAACCUGACAAGACAUACCGGUAAAGGGUUCUCCUGUUUUGUUUUGGUUUGGUUUUUUGUUUGUUUUAAUCUUAAAGUUAUCAGUCCUAUAAACAUUCUAUAUACCCAAACAUGCUGAGGAUGCCGUGGAAAGUUCCGCUCACUACCUUCUACUUGAGUCUCUAUCAGUUCAGUAUUUUGGAGGAUUCAAAAAGAGAAAUCGUGAAAGCCUAAAGGCUUUUUUUCCCCUUUGGGCUUCCAGCGCUCAGUGCAAAACACACAGACGCUUAACCGACUGAGCCACCCAGGCGCCCCAAAGGAAACCUACAAAUACCUGGGGAGAAGUCCACUUCUUCCUUUUCUCGGGAACACAAACAUUGUUCCAAUUUAACAACCCUGUAACCAAAGCCUUCUGAAGCCCUGAAUUUGCAACUGUCAUAGAGUCAUGUGCAUUCCUGUGGAAAAACUAAAUUUUCAUUGUUCGGACAGAGAUCUCCCUUGUUAGGGAAUUUGUGAAAUAAGAUUUGGGAGGGGGGGUCGGGGGAAGGACACAAAAAAGCAAGCAGAACCAAAGAUAACCAGGAGUGAAGAACCUGGGCCAUGGUUGAGCGAACCAGAGCUUCUAACGUGUCUUCAGGCCCAUCUUCACGAGGAGCUCUAGAGUGUUCUCUGUGCCUUCACCUGGUGGGCUCACAGAGACGUGUAGAUAGGAACAUUCUAGAGCCUUGUACAUUGUCUAAUUUAAAUGGUGUUAAUUUUCUCAAGUUAUUUUUGUUACUAAGUAUUAUCCUGAAAUGAAGUGAGUAAUUUGUUAGUUUUCUUAGGGAUCACUUGUAUUCUUUCCUAUUGUCCAUAUAACCAAUUUCCAAUUAAGAAUAUGAAUAAAAUUAUACUCA